rnacentral:rRNA from 1 species
GACGAACGCUGGCGGCGUGCCUAACACAUGCAAGUCGAACGGAGAGUUCAUUGAGGAGACUUCGGUCAACGAGAUGAAUUUCUUAGUGGCGGACGGGUGAGUAACGCGUGAGCAAUCUGCCUUUCAGAGGGGGAUAACAUUCUGAAAAGAAUGCUAAUACCGCAUAACGUAUUGAGAUGGCAUCUUCUUGAUACCAAAGGAGUAAUCCGCUGAAAGAUGAGCUCGCGGCCUAUUAGUUAGUUGGCGGGGUAACGGCCCACCAAGGCGAUGACGGGUAGCCGGUCUGAGAGGAUGUCCGGCCACAUUGGGACUGAGACACGGCCCAGACUCCUACGGGAGGCAGCAGUGGGGAAUACUGCGCAAUGGGGGAAACCCUGACGCAGCAACGCCGCGUGAAGGAUGAAGGUCUUCGGAUUGUAAACUUCUGUCUUAUGGGAAGAACACAGACGGUACCAUAGGAGGAAGCCACGGCUAACUACGUGCCAGCAGCC